rnacentral:lncRNA from 1 species
GGAAGAGGACUCAGAAAGGGUGGUGUCCACAGAGCCACACACAAGGAGGCUGGACUGGCCUUUAGUUCACUAAUGCCAAUACAAGACCCUCCAAAACACCUCUAGGUGCUUUAAAUAGGCACAUUAUUUUAUUCUCAAUCAGCAUAGCUAGAUACUGUGCUAGCACAGGGAUUACAUUAGAGAAUAAGAGACAUGCUCCCUACUCUUAUACAACUUACGUGCUGUUUGGGGAAACAUACACGUAAGCAGGCAAUUUGGAGCACUCUGUGUGCAGGACAAAGACAGGCACCAAGGAUAGACUAAGGGUUGGAGCAGGCUUCUCUAAGAUGUACCUUGCCACAGCUUAGAUGUCACAUGUAAGGAUUAGCCAGGUGAGGAAGAUGCGAGUAUGUCAUUCCAACAUCAGAAAAGAACAUGGGUAACUCUGAGGAAAAUAACAUAAUAUAUUUUGGAAGGGGAAAAAUUCAACCUUGUUGGAAGGUAGUGGGCUAGGUGAGGAGUAAUAAGAGCUGUGACUGGUGUUGGCAAAUGUAUUUGGAUAAAGCUCAGGUGGGAGGCCGGCCUACUGUGAUUCCUUAUACCCUCACAGCAUCCUUGGAUAGGAGCUGCAGUGGCCUCUUUCUGUUGUGUUUCAGGUGUAAAGGUUGCUUCUGACCAGGAAGACAAAAGUUAAGGAGCGUUAGGGUUUCAGGGAAAGGAUGGGGGUGAGACAUCCCUCAGGAAAACAGCUGUGUUGUCAGGUAUGGGGAAGGAAAGAGAGGAGGAUGAAAAUCAAACCCACCUACUCCAGGGCUCAAGGCCAGUCUGGAGGACUGAGGACACUUGGCUUGGAUCUGACAAGGUCUGUGACGUAGCCAAGUCCUGCUUGCUUUACAAGAGAAAUCCCUUUCUCAUGCCCGUAAUUCACUAGGUAAGCAGUUAGUCUCAUUUAAUUUGGGCUGUGAUAUCCUCCUACGACGACCUCUCUGCCCAAACCUGAGUGGGAACCACGGUCCCAUGCUGUGACUCAGUAGUGAUGGAACUCAAAUGGCAUGGGAAGGGAAGGGAAGGGAAGGGAAGGGAAGUAGACUGCUGAGACAGCUUCCUCACUAACACCGGGGAGGGGAACUGCUGUAAGAGAGAAUCAUGGAAACAGGAGACACAUUCACUUGGAAAGUUCUGAUUUUUCCAUUCAAGGAU